rnacentral:rRNA from 1 species
GACGAACGCUGGCGGCGUGCUUAACACAUGCAAGUCGAACGAUGAAGCGGGGCUUUUGUUCUGUGGAUUAGUGGCGAACGGGUGAGUAACACGUGAGUAACCUGCCCCCCACUCUGGGAUAACCUCGGGAAAUCGGGGCUAAUACCGGAUAUGAGUUUCCGCCGCAUGGUGGUUUCUGGAAAGUUUUUCGGUGGGGGAUGGACUCGCGGCCUAUCAGUUUGUUGGUGAGGUAAUGGCUCACCAAGGCGAUGACGGGUAGCCGGCCUGAGAGGGCGACCGGCCACACUGGGACUGAGACACGGCCCAGACUCCUACGGGAGGCAGCAGUGGGGAAUAUUGCACAAUGGGCGAAAGCCUGAUGCAGCGACGCCGCGUGAGGGAUGACGGCCUUCGGGUUGUAAACCUCUUUCAGUAGGGAAGAAGCGAAAGUGACGGUACCUGCAGAAGAAGCGCCGGCUAACUACGUGCCAGCAGCCGCCGUAAAAC